CCCAAGAGCAAGCAGCACAGCAUAGUGGUUAGAUGACAGCCUGCAUUCAACCCAGCUCUGCACAAGACUAACUGUCCAAACGGGCAGGACAGCAGUUCAUUUUGUGCCGCCAAUGUAUAAAACGAGAACCGUAGUUGCAAGUCGUGUGUUGGGCCCUGGAAGAGGUGACAUGAGGUGAAGCAUGCCAAGGGCUUGGAUAUGAGCCUGGAAUAUCACAAGCACCCUUAUCUUGGCCACUGUCACAAAGACAAAGACCUCGGGAGAAGGUGCAGUCUCGGGGGUGGGAGUGUCCUGGUUCUGUCCAAACGGGUUGAGUUUAAGUGGAGCCAGAGACCAAGUUCUAGGCUGGAGAUGUCAAUUUCAUUUUGGGGCCAUCGGCAGCGGAGCUGGUCACUGAAGCCAUGGGAAGUCAUGGAGGGAGCACAGGGAAAGUGAGAACAGAUCAGCACCACAGGACACAACCCGGGAGAAUGGCAACCAUUUUGAGGAAAAGAGACGAAGAGAAAACAGUGAGCAGGAGGAAGGCAGCCAGCAGUGCUACCAUCCAGCCGUGUGUGGAAGAGACAGUGACAACAGGAAGAAGGGGGACAGGAGUUAAUGGGGUGGCUCCGUUCUCCCUUCAUCACCCGCACUGGCCAGAGGCACAUGGCAUGGGGGCAAGAAGACUGGCUCUGUCCACGUGCUAAACAGCAAACACCAGACACCACGUCUGACCCUCUGUGCUGAUCCAGAAGCACACAGCAAUCCACCCCAGUGACUGGGAUCAACACGAUCCAGCUUGACCUGGCCACUCCAUUGACUGCCUGGUCUUUUCCCGACCACAAGAAACCACAGGACGAAUAUUCCUACUGAAUCCAAAUAGCUGCCACAAUGGAGCACAAGCCGUGUCCCCCACCUUCUCCUGCAGUAGAGCCUUUUGAGGUUCCUCAUCUCCUUGCAACAGCCCCAAAACCCUUUGAGUACGUGUAACUUUAAAUUUUCCUUUAUUGCUGAAGACUGAUUCUAGAAAGUUCUUCCACAGGUUUUGUUUAUUAGAUUCCCAAGGCCCAGCCCAAGUCCUCACCCCCAAGACCCUGAAGGCAAUGCCCACACACUGCAAGCUCAGGGAAGGUGUCUGCCAGAGGAUGCCAGGGUGAACACUCACAUUCAGCACAGAGAUAAGAAACUCCUUUAUAUUGUCUAAUAUAAGCAAGGGGGAGUAGUUACUUUUAUACCCAGGAUAAAGUCUCCUACUACAUAGUUUGACAACAAAGCAGAGUGCUUCUCUCUUGAAUCUACUACCCCUAAACUUUAUUUAAUGCUCAGUUUUCUUAGAAAAGUUCAGCAAUAAACUCACUGAAGCACUUUGCCCUAAGAGAAUCUGUGCUUUUGGAAUGACACAGUCAUAUCUUAUCCUAGGGGAAAAAUUAUUCUGGCAAAAUGAAACAUUUAGCCUAAGGGGAAGUGGCUCCACUUUUCAUGCCUCCUCCUACAGGGUUAAUUGGCUUGCUGAACUUCCACAAACCAAGAAGAAAAUACUAAAGAGUGCCCAACCCAUCCCAGAAAGGGGCAUCAAUAAAAGUCAGGAUCAAAACUGACUGGUCUGAAAGCUGGUAAAUACGAUCAAGUUAAUGAUUCCCCAUUUAUCGAUAGGUGACCCAUAAAAACAAAGUGUGUAUAAUUUUUUUUCAAUCUCUAUGAAAAAUAAGGACAUAUUAGCAUAAUGAUUUUGUUCUGCAGCAACACAAUGGCGAUUCACCCUUGUGGAAUAUCGGUGUUAAAAUUAGGAAAUGGUAGCACGUUCCAACACCGACACGAAUGCAAGCCCUAAAUAUAGAUGAUGUGCCAUCUGGAGGCCAAGAGCCUGCCUUGGCACAUUAACCAGAAGACCAACCCAGAGAAGGGAAAUAGCUUUUGAAAAACACAGAAAAGAGAUUCGCUUAGAAUUUUAUUUGAUAUAACAACAUCAAGUCACAGAAUGAGGAGUCAUCUGUUUCAUGGACUAUUUGUGACUCAGAUGUUAACUCUGCUACUGUCUUUAAAUACAUGGAG
rnacentral:lncRNA from 1 species